rnacentral:rRNA from 1 species
GGUGUUGCAUGGCUGUCGUCAGCUCGUGUCGUGAGAUGUUGGGUUAAGUCCCGCAACGAGCGCAACCCUCAUCCUUAGUUACCAUCAGGUAAUGCUGGGGACUUUAAGGAAACUGCCAGUGAUAAACUGGAGGAAGGUGGGGAUGAUGUCAAGUCAUCAUGGCCCUUAUGGAGUGGGCUACACACGUGCUACAAUGGUGGCUACAAUGGGCUGCAAAGUCGCGAGGCUAAGCUAAUCCCUUAAAAGCCAUCACAGUUCGGAUUGUACUCUGCAACUCGAGUGCAUGAAGUUGGAAUCGCUAGUAAUCGUGGAUCAGCACGCCACGGUGAAUACGUUCCCGGGUCUUGUACACAC